GCCUGCAGCCAUACCACCUUGGGCUGUGAUCUUAAAAGCUAAGACCGGUUGGGCUGCUUAGCAUUUGGAAGAGACCUCCAAGAAAGCUUACCACUGCAGGAA
ensembl:rRNA 5S_rRNA 5S ribosomal RNA